CCUACGGGGGGCAGCAGUAGGGAAUAUUGCUCAAUGGGGGAAACCCUGAAGCAGCAACGCCGCGUGGAGGAUGAAGGUUUUAGGAUUUUAAACUCCUUUUGUUAGAGAAGAUUAUGACUGUAUCUAACGAAUAAGCACCGGCUAACUCCGUUCCAGCAGCCGCGGUAAUACGGAGGGUGCAAGCGUUACUCGGAAUCACUGGGCGUAAAGAGUGCGUAGGCGGGGUAAUAAGUCAGAUGGGAAAUCCUGUGGCUUAACUACAGAACUGCAUUUGAAACUGUUACUCUGGAGUGUGGGAGAGGUAGGUGGAAUUCUUGGUGUAGGGGUAAAAUCCGUAGAGAUCAAGAAGAAUACUCAUUGCGAAGGCGACCUGCUGGAACACUACUGACGCUGAUGCACGAAAGCGUGGGGAGCAAACAGGAUUAGAUACCCUUGUAGUC
rnacentral:rRNA from 1 species